UACGUAGGUGGCAAGCGUUGUCCGGAAUUAUUGGGCGUAAAGCGCGCGCAUGCGGUCCUUUAAGUCUGAUGUGAAAGCCCACGGCUCAACCGUGGAAGGUCAUUGGAAACUGGAGGACUUGAGUACAGAAGAGGAAAGCGGAAUUCCACGUGUAGCGGUGAAAUGCGUAGAGAUGUGGAGGAACACCAGUGGCGAAGGCGGCUUUCUGGUCUGUAACUGACGCUGAGGCGCGAAAGCGUGGGGAGCAAACAGG
rnacentral:rRNA from 1 species